GACGAACGCUGGCGGCGUGCUUAACACAUGCAAGUCGAACGGAAAGGCCCUGCUUUUGUGGGGUGCUCGAGUGGCGAACGGGUGAGUAACACGUGAGUAACCUGCCCUUGACUUUGGGAUAACUUCAGGAAACUGGGGCUAAUACCGGAUAGGAGCUCCUGCUGCAUGGUGGGGGUUGGAAAGUUUCGGCGGUUGGGGAUGGACGCGCGGCUUAUCAGCUUGUUGGUGGGGUAGUGGCUUACCAAGGCUUUGGCGGGUAGCCGGCCUGAGAGGGUGACUGGCCACAUUGGGACUGAGAUACGGCCCAGACUCCUACGGGAGGCAGCAGUGGGGAAUAUUGCACAAUGGGCGGAAGCCUGAUGCAGCAACGCCGCGUGCGGGAUGACGGCCUUCGGGUUGUAAACCGCUUUCGCCUGUGACGAAGCGUGAGUGACGGUAAUGGGUAAAGAAGCACCGGCUAACUACGUG
rnacentral:rRNA from 1 species